rnacentral:rRNA from 1 species
AACGAACGCUGGCGGCAGGCUUAACACAUGCAAGUCGAACGCCCCGCAAGGGGAGUGGCAGACGGGUGAGUAACGCGUGGGAAUCUACCCAUCCCUACGGAACAACUCCGGGAAACUGGAGCUAAUACCGUAUACGCCCUUAGGGGGAAAGAUUUAUCGGGGAUGGAUGAGCCCGCGUUGGAUUAGCUAGUUGGUGGGGUAAAGGCCUACCAAGGCGACGAUCCAUAGCUGGUCUGAGGGGAUGAUCAGCCACAUUGGGACUGAGACACGGCCCAAACUCCUACGGGAGGCAGCAGUGGGGAAUAUUGGACAAUGGGCGCAAGCCUGAUCCAGCCAUGCCGCGUGAGUGAUGAAGGCCUUAGGGUUGUAAAGCUCUUUCACCGAUGAAGAUAAUGACGGUAGUCGGAGAAGAAGCCCCGGCUAACUUCGGGCCAGCCGCCGCCGUAAUAC